AGGAGUCCGGUUAGAGAAGGAAGCGAGGAGCGGAGGGCACGGAUUGAGCAGUGGAACAGGGAAAGGGAGGAGAAGCAGUAAUUUCAGUUUCGAGUUUCUGUUUACUUACUGCUUGUUUCUGUCUAUGGAGAAGCUGAUUGGAAACUGAGCUGGUUUUGUUCAUUUUCUACAAAUUGAAAUAAAGAGGCUGGCAUAAUUGAGUCUCCCCCAAUUUCUGUGUUACCUGGAUUCCCAUGCCAUCUGCCAAGCUGACGACAUGCCAUGCCCCGACUCUGAUGCCUCUAUGCUCAGAGCCUGUAGCCCGGAGCUUUGAUUGAGCUGCUUUCACUGUGUCAUUUUGAAGAAGCUACUUAAAAGAAGUUUCGUUUCACUAGAAAGCCAUUAUUUUUUCUGAAGCAAAGCAUAUCUGGGCUUUUCCGAUUUUUUUUUAUCAAAUAUUGCUUAUAGGCUAUUUGGGUGCAACCCACCUUGCAAAUAAGAAUGUAACAUCGAAUCUGGCUUA